UUGAAACACUGUUUUUGUGCAAUUUGCAAGUGGAGAUUUCAAGCGCUUUAAGGUCAAUGGCAGAAAAGGAAAUAUCUUCGUUUCAAAACUAGACAGAAUCAUUCUCAGAAACUGCUCUGCGAUGUGUGCGUUCAACUCUCAGAGUUUAACUUUUCUUUUCAUUCAGCAGUUCGGAAACACUCUGUUUGUAAAGUCUGCACGUGGAUAUUUUGACCACUUAGAUGCCUUCUUUGGAAACGGGUUUUUUUCUUGUAAGGCUAGACAGAAGAAUUCCCAGUAACUUCCUUGUGUUGUGUGCAUUCAACUCACAGAGUUGAACGUUCCCUUAGACAGAGCAGAUUUGAAACACUCUUUUUGUGCAAUUGGCAAGUGGAGAUUUCAAGCGCUUUAAGGUCAAUGGAAGAAAAGGAAAUAUCUUCGUUUCAAAACUAGACAGAAUCAUUCGCACAAACUGCGUUGUGAUGUGUGCGUUCAACUCACAGAGUUUAACCUUUCUUUUCAUAGAGCAGUUAGGAAACACUCUGUUUGUAAACUCUGCAAGUG
rnacentral:lncRNA from 1 species